UAUUUUAAUAGCUUAUUUAAUAAAGUAUAAUAUUGAAGAUAUGAAAGUAUAUUUACUUUAAAAUAU
rnacentral:tRNA from 1 species